rnacentral:rRNA from 1 species
GUGCCAGCCGCCGCGGUAAUACAGAGGGGGCAAGCGUUAUUCGGAAUUAUUGGGCGUAAAGGGCGCGUAGGCGGCCUGGCAAGUGGAAGGUGAAAUCCCUCGGCUUAACCGAGGAACUGCCUCCCAAACUGCUUGGCUUGAGACCGGGAGAGGUGAGUGGAAUUCCCAGUGUAGCGGUGAAAUGCGUAGAUAUUGGGAGGAACACCAGUGGCGAAGGCGGCUCACUGGACCGGUACUGACGCUGAGGCGCGAAAGCGUGGGGAGCAAACGGGAUUAGAAACCCCAGUAGUCC